ACCGGUAAGGAGCGUUGGAGCGGAUAGAAGUGAGCAUGCAGGCAUGAGUAGCGAUAAUUGAGGUGAGAAUCCUCAACGCCGAAAACCCAAGGUUUCCUACGCGAUGCUCGUCAUCGUAGGGUUAGUCGGGACCUAAGUCGAGUCCGAAAGGGGUAGACGAUGGCAAAUUGAUUAAUAUUUCAAUACCAACAUAUAAGCGCGAUGUGGGGACGCAUAGAGUUAAUCGAGGUCACUGAUGGAAUAGUGGCUCGAAGGACGUAGGCUGUUAAGUAGGCAAAUCCGCUUAACAUUAGGCCGAGAUCUUACAGGCUCUUGACACUCUUCGGAGGAGAUGGAGAAUCGAUGAUACUGUCGUGCCAAGAAAAGCCACUAAGUUUAUUAUAUGUUGCCCGUACCGUAAACCGACACAGGUGGGUGGGAUGAGUAUUCUAAGGCGCGUGGAAGAACCCUGGUUAAGGAACUCUGCAAACUAGCACCGUAUCUUCGGUAUAAGGUGUGCCUACUUUUGUAUAUGAACUUGCUUCAAAAAGCGAAAGAGGUUGCAACAAAGAGUCCCUCCCGACUGUUUACCAAAAACACAGCACUUUGCUAACACGUAAGUGGAUGUAUAAGGUGUGACGCCUGCCCGGUGCUCGAAGGUUAACUGAUGAUGUCAGCGCAAGCGAAGCAUUUGAUUGAAGCCCGAGUAAACGGCGGCCGUAACUAUAACGGUCCUAAGGUAGCGAAAUUCCUUGUCGGUUAAAUACCGACCUGCAUGAAUGGCGUAACGAGAUGGGAGCUGUCUCAACCAGGGAUCCAGUGAAAUUGUAGUGGAGGUGAAAAUUCCUCCUACCCGCGGAAAGACGGAAAGACCCCGUGCACCUUUACUACAGCUUGACACUGUAGCUUGGAUAUUCAUGUGCAGGAUAGGUGGGAGGCUAUGAUGACUAGACGCCAGUAGAGUCGGAGCCAUCCUUGAGAUACCACCCUUGAAUAUUUGAGUUACUAACUGCGUACAAUUAUCUUGUAUCAGGACAAUGUCUGGUGGGUAGUUUGACUGGGGCGGUCGCCUCCUAAAAAGUAACGGAGGCUUACAAAGGUUAGUUCAAAGCGGAUGGAAAUCGCUUGUUGAGUAUAAUGGCAUAAACUAGCUUGACUGUGAGACAUACAAGUCGAACAGAGACGAAAGUCGGUCAUAGUGAUCCGGUGGUUCUGUGUGGAAGGGCCAUCGCUCAAAGGAUAAAAGGUACGCCGGGGAUAACAGGCUGAUCUCCCCCAAGAGCUCACAUCGACGGGGAGGUUUGGCACCUCGAUGUCGGCUCAUCGCAUCCUGGGGCUGUAGUCGGUCCCAAGGGUAUGGCUGUUCGCCAUUUAAAGCGGUACGCGAGCUGGGUUCAGAACGUCGUGAGACAGUUCGGUCCCUAUCUUCCGUGGGCGUAGGAAAGUUGAAGAGAUUUGUCCCUAGUACGAGAGGACCGGGAUGAACGUACCACUGGUGUACCAAUUGUUCUGCCAAGAGCAUCGUUGGGUAGCUACGUACGGAUGUGAUAAGAGCUGAAAGCAUCUAAGCUCGAAGCCAACUCUAAGAUUAACUUUCCCUGAAGUUCCCAGCAAGACUAGCUGGUUGAUAGGCUGGAUGUGUAAGCGUUGUAAGACGUUUAGCUGACCAGUACUAAUAGAACGUUUGGCUUAUUUUU
rnacentral:rRNA from 1 species